CGAACGCUGGCGGCAGGCCUAAUACAUGCAAGUCGAACGGCUCUUCGGAGCAGUGGCGGACGGGUGAGUAACGCGUGGGAAUGUGCCCUUUGGUACGGAACAACACAGGGAAACUUGUGCUAAUACCGUAUGUGCCCUUCGGGGGAAAGAUUUAUCGCCAUUGGAGCAGCCCGCGUUGGAUUAGGUAGUUGGUGAGGUAAAGGCCCACCAAGCCUACGAUCCAUAGCUGGUCUGAGAGGAUGACCAGCCACACUGGGACUGAGACACGGCCCAGACUCCUACGGGAGGCAGCAGUAGGGAAUCUUCCACAAUGGGCGAAAGCCUGAUGGAGCAACGCCGCGUGAAGGAUGAAGGCCCUCGGGUUGUAAACUUCUUUUAUAAGUGAAGAAUAUGACGGUAACUUAUGAAUAAGCACCGGCUAACUACGUGCCAGCAGCCGCCGUAAUAC
rnacentral:rRNA from 1 species